GAUGAACGCUAGCGGCAGGCUUAAUACAUGCAAGUCGUGGGGCAGCAGGCCUGUAGCAAUACAGUUGCUGGCGACCGGCAAACGGGUGCGGCACACGUACGCAACUUACCCUGUACUGGGGGAUAGCCCGGGGUAACCCGGAUUAAUACUCCGUAAUAUAAUGGAGUGGCAUCACUUUAUUAUUAAAGCUCCGGCGGUUCGGGAUGGGCGUGCGUCUGCUUAGGUAGUUGGUUGAGGUAACGGCUCACCAAGCCUACGAUCAGUAACUGGUGUGAGAGCACGACGAGUCACACGGGCACUGAGACACGUGCCCGACUCCUACGGGAGGCAGCAGUAAGGAAUAUUGGGCAGUGGAGUCAACUCUGACCCAGCCAUGCCGCGUGGAGGAUGAAGGCGCUCGGGGUUGUAAACUUCUUGUAUAGGGGACGAAACCUGUGUAUUCUUACGCAGUUGACGGUACCCGAGGAAUAAGCACCGGCUAACUCCGUG
rnacentral:rRNA from 1 species